rnacentral:tRNA from 1 species
GCCGGUGUAGCUCAGAGGCAGAGCAGCUGAUUCGUAAUCAGCUGGUCGGGGGUUCGACUCUCCCCACCGGCUCCA